ensembl:miRNA mir457a microRNA 457a
UGCCUGGCUGUAGCAGCACAUCAAUAUUGGUAGCUGCCCUCAAACUGGGCUGCCAGUAUAGCUUGUGCUGCUCCAGU